UUGUAUCUGCCGCCGGGUAGACAUCUUCUGCUCAUUCCAUUAGGCCAUUGAAGGAAUGAACUGAAGAUGUUUUUUAUA
rnacentral:ncRNA from 1 species